rnacentral:rRNA from 1 species
AACGAACGCUGGCGGUAUGCCUAAUACAUGCAAGUCGUACGCGAAAGCCCGCAAGGGUAAGUAGAGUGGCGCACGGGUGAGUAACACGUAGGUGACCUUCCCUUUUGAGUGGGAUAACCCAAAGAAAUUCGGGCUAAUACCACAUAAGUUACUUCGGCGUGGUGCUGAAGUAAGAAAUGAUUGCCUCUACUUGUAAGCAAUCGCUGAAGGAUGGGCCUGCGGGACAUUAGCUAGUUGGUGGGUAACGGCCUACCAAGGCGACGAUGUCUAGCCGGUUUGAGAGAACGUCCGGCCACACUGGAACUGAGACACGGUCCAGACUCCUACGGGAGGCAGCAGUAGGGAAUAUUGCGCAAUGGGCGAAAGCCUGACGCAGCAAUACCGCGUGAGUGAGGAAGGUCUUCGGAUUGUAAAGACUCUGUCGGGAGUGGAAAAAUAGGUGUGAGGUCUAAUAGGCCUUACAAUUGAUGGUACAUCCAAAGGAAGACACCGGCUAACUUCGUGCCA